rnacentral:rRNA from 1 species
UACGUAGGGGGCAAGCGUUGUCCGGAUUUAUUGGGCGUAAAGAGCGUGUAGGCGGCCAGGUAGGUCCGUUGUGAAAACUCGAGGCUUAACCUCGAGACGUCGAUGGAAACCAUCUGGCUAGAGUCCGGAAGAGGAGAGUGGAAUUCCUGGUGUAGCGGUGAAAUGCGCAGAUAUCAGGAAGAACACCGGUGGCGAAGGCGGGUCUCUGGGCAGUAACUGACGCUGAGGAGCGAAAGCGUGGGGAGCGAACAGGA